rnacentral:sRNA from 12 species
AAGCGUUGAAGCAUAAUAGCGUACCGGGAUGCCUUGUUAUGCAGAGCUUUCAGUAGGGGUUGUGCAGUAACCUCAAACCGGAGUAGGCUGCAAAGCCGAAGAAAAUGCUCAAA